AAAAGUUUGAAUUUCCCUAAACCUAAGUUUGCAUGCAGGGUUCUGAGCGGGAAGAGAGCACUUCUCCACCGACAGAGGUCAUGGAAGGAAAAGUUCUUCUACUCAGAAUCUGAGCAGCAGGCUGGCCAGGCCAGCAGGGAGCAGACAUACUUGCCAUCUGACAAAUGAAGAACCUGUGGUUCAGUAACUGUGCCUCACUCAAGGUCACAGAGCUGCAUUUGGCUUGCUGUACAAGAAUGGAAUAAGAUAGAGACUUUUGAUUUCCUAUGAAUUCAACUUGGACGCAUGGAAAGACUUUACAAAGGACUGAUAUCCCAGCUCUCAACUACUCAAAGGCCUCGGCUAAGACGGUUGGAAUUUCUCUGGAUGCAUACACCGGGUUCUUCCUAAACAACUGUGAAUGAAGCAGUGACAUCAUCCGCUAAUCUGGAGUGGCUCCACUUUCCUGGGCAUUUGGAAUUUUUGACCAAGGAGAGGGAAGACUCACCUUUCCUGAACUUGCCAUGCAAAGACUCUUAAACUGUAUUUGCAAACCUGUGUUCAUUCUAUUGUGCCUUGCUACUUGCAGUGAACUGUCAAGCAAAAGCAUGUUGGCCCUAGCAAGGAAACAGGUUAAGCGACUGAAGGAACCAGAGUUAAGUACGGAGGAGCAAGUGGCUGGCGGGAGCGGUCACAGUGAGGCUGCCCCUUCCAUUUCCACCUCGGCUAGUCCAGGCAGGUCAGUGAAGCCAGAGACGCUGGAGGUAGGGGGGGUGGGGGUGCAAGAAAGCAGAAAGGACCUGUGUAGAAAUCUGACUGUCCCCAAAACCUCCAUUACACUGUGCACCAGCAUUCUCCUACUUAGGACUCUUUUUUUUCCACCCCUAACAAAUGAAUUCAUAGGAGAGAAAAAUUGAAAUUGCAGAGGAAAAUCAAUUUAAAGCCCGAAAGGUGAAAUUUCGUAGGAAAAUAUUACCCUCUCAUCCCUAAUUAAUCACAGAAAAUGUGUCUGCCAAUAUGAAGCCAUUUUAUCAGGAAAUAGCCCGGGUGAAGCAGGGAAACAGCAUUACCAAGCCCAACUGGGUUACGUAUGAAAAAAUGAGAGAAGAAAGACAUUGCAGGUGAACAAAGCUGUAUUCAGUGGUUAAUAAAAUCGAAGUGUCUUACACCCAGGAAUCAUCCUCUCAUGAAUCUCUUCUCAGUGCUCUAAAGGUACGGCCCCAGGUCCCUGGCCCUUGCCCCUCCUAAGGACAGGUUCACUCUCAUAUGGCCUUAGUGGUAUUUUGGUGUAAGGCUUGAAAGCACCGAUGGAAUUAAUUUUUUUUCAUGUGAUUUUGGUAUGAAUUCAAAAUAAUUUAAAUGGUAUUUCCUGAGUGGAGUCCUAUGGAACUAGCAGUUUAAAGGUGUUGCAUUAAAGGAAAAAAAAAUCUUGUGUUUAAAUAAGUUUGAGAAAUAAUGGGUUUAGUAAAUUUAUAGUUUCCUUAAUUUAAAACUUCUCUGAUGCCAGGGAGUUCUCUCAUCCCUUGCUCUGAAUGAAAGAUCUGGAACUACCUGAUUUAAGGUUCAACAUCUAGAACCUUGAAACUGUGACAUCUGUCGGUGGGCCCUUUUGGCAAAGUUACACCUUUGCCUUUUAUGUCAAAAAUUAAGUUGUAUAAUUGACCACAAUAAUCAAUUAGAAAUCAUCCCUCAUGUAUUACUUAGAACAAGUGUUAUUGAAGUUAUGAGGUCUCUUAAGGAAACA